rnacentral:tRNA from 1 species
GGUCGCCUAGCUCAGCUGGUUAGAGCGUGGUGCUAAUAUCUUCUGUUGAAUCAGAUUGAUUAAACGCCAAGGUCGCGGGUUCGAUCCCCGUGGUGAUCA